AUGUGGGAUGAGGGAAACUGGAACUUCGUCAAAGGUGUUAUUAAGGAUAGUGCUGGAACUAAAAUCAUCACCACGACUCGUAACCUUAAGAUUGCCGAAGAAGUUGGUGGCGUUUACUUGAUAAAACCACUUUCUCCUGACAACUCCAAAAAAUUACUCCGUACCAAAGCUGAAGCUGAAAGCCAUAAUACUGAAUUUGAUGAAGUGUCGGAUAAAAUUUUGCGUAAAUGCGGUGGUGUGCCAAUAGCUAUCACUAUGAUAGGUAGCUUUCUUGCUAAUAAUAAAAGCAAGGGGUGGCAUGGGGCGUAUGACUCUAUUGGUUUUGAUGAGCACAAGAAGGACGGGGCAUUCGAGCACAUAAGAAAGGUACUGUCCUGUAGCUAUUAUAAUCUACCCUACGAUAUCAAGAAAUGCUUGUUGUACCUAAGCCUUUUCCCAGAAGAUCACUGGAUCGAAAAGAAUAUGCUGAUAUGGAGGUGGGUAGCAGAAGGCCUCAUUUCUGAUGGGUUAUUUGAGACUGGAGAGGCCCAUUUCAGCGAACUAGUAGACAGGAGCAUCAUCCAGUCGGCAGUGAGCCCUCGUGAUGUGGGCCAAGGUGGUUGUCGCGUCCACAGUUUGAUGCUUGACCUCAUCCGUGACCUGUCAAGUAGCAAGAAGGAGAACUUCGCCACUGUGCUGGGCAUGAAGCAGGAGAGCACAUCUGAAACCGUACACAUUCAUAGAUUAGCCAUCCACAAAACAAGCGUAGCUCAAAAUCAAAAUACUAGCCUGGAAGUGGGGGAGGUGCUGUCAUUUUAUGCCAGCACGUGUCCCGGUAGUAGCUUUCCCCCACUCUCGAGGUUUAAACGGCUCCGUGUAAUAGAUCUGGAAGAUUGUGAUUUAUCCGUCGAGGAUUGCAAACUGAGGCACCUCGAGAAGUUGGCUGGGCUGGGGUACAUUGGGCUUGUCGGCACCCAUGUGACCGAGCUCCCGAAGAAGAUGGGACGCCUCAAGUUCCUACAAACACUCGACGUGACGGCAACUGGCCUCAGUGAGCUGCCAUCAUUCAUCGAGGAUCUGAAGAAACUGAGGUGCCUGCGAGUUGGCAAGGGCACGAGGAUCAUGGGCCGGAUAGGGGAGCUGACGUCCCUGGAAGAGCUGUGGCUGCACUCGGCUGACAAGUCCCCGGGCUUCGUUAUUGAGCUCCGAAAGCUGACCGAGCUGCGGGUGCUGGUGAUCCACUUCGACGAGAUUGAUGAUGGUAUGAAAGAGGCGCUGGUGGAGUCCCUGCAUCAACUGGAGAAGCUCCAGGUCCUACAAGUCUGGUCAGACACAGAGGAGAAGGUCCCCCUUGGCAGCUGGGAAGCUAGCAUGCCCUUCCCGCAGCUCCGCCAGCUGUUGUUGUUCGGAGUCAUCCUACCCAGGCCGAUGUCGUGGAUCCACCGCUUGUUUGUGCCGAAACUCUCCAAGCUACUGCUGCAGGUGGUGGUCUUGGAGAAGCAGCACCUGGAGAUCCUCGGGCAGAUGCCGUCGCUCCACUCGCUCUACCUCCACAGUGAGGAUGACAAGUACCGGCUGUCAUAUACCGCCAACAAGAAUGAGUUCAAGGUGUUGGAAUACAUCAACACGAACAUAGAGUUGAUAUGCGGUGACGGGGGGCUACCAAUGAUCCAGGAGCUGGAGGUCGGCGGCAUCAGGGCAGGAAGGGACGUUGGCCUGCGGGGGAACAUGCCUCUACUCCAGAGGGCCACCUACCACCUCGACUGUGUGGCCCGCCUCCCUCUCCGGGUGCGGAAGGCAGAGGAAGAGCUACGGCAGGCGGGGAAAGCACACCCCAACCGUCCCGAAAUCACCAUAAGGAGAUGGAACAACGUCGUGACGGAGAUAUGGCCCAAGAUGGAACAAAUCCAAGGGACCUCCCUGAGGCUUGUGAGGCCCUCAUCCUCGGAAGAAAAUAUAUUUCUAGAUAAUAACCCUGAAAGUUUAAAGCAAAUGUCGGAAGAUUUUGCCCGGCUUGAGCUAGACAACCCUAUCGGAGCACCACCGGCCCUCAGAGUGGAUGACGCUACAGAUGCCACAGGCUCUCCAUCUCAGGGAGCAGCUCUUAUCGAGUUCUAUUUUAAGUCCAUGCUCAAGGUCCAUGAGGAUAUUACUGACAUCACGCGAAAUGAGGGUUUGUCCAGUCCCGGCUCUACCUCCUCUUCUAACGCAGACGCAAACGCAAGUUCAGAAGGAAACGAUGGUGCAGGUCCCAUUGGUGAGCUGCUGCCUGAGGUCGACGCCGAAAGCGUGCCAUGCUGGCUCAACAGCCCGGAUGGAGUCGCUCUUUCGUCGAGGGUGGCAGUUGAGUUAGGGAUGGGUCAUGUUGCCUUUGCUAGACUAUUUGAGAAGUGCCAGCGGAACCCUAAUCCGUUAGCAGUGUUUUGUAAAGUUGUCAUGGAAACUUUAGUUGAAAUUGCAUGGAAAUUCAAACAUUCGUUGGCAAAUCGCUCCCCAGGAAUGUUCCCCAGAUAUUGCGGUCCUUUUUUAGGGACCGUUGCCAUAGCUCUCACUGCCUCAACCGGCGGCACAACGGUCGGAACCAAUGAUGGCAAGCACGGGCUACAGCACCAUGUCUGCCUUGCCCCGUCCUAUGUGUCGCCGCCUCGAUGUUACCCCCGCAACCUCUGGUCUAUGACAUGGCACAAGUCGACUUUGGCUCAACUGUCGGGCUGGCGCAGCGGACUGACACUGAGCAUGUAUCCACUGAAAUUCAAUGAAUUCCAUCAAAAUCUCAUUGAAAGUGAAAACCAUGACGCUGAGUUCCAGUCCCGGGGUCUUGGACAUGGAUACCGGGGUACCCCGGAUGGUGGUCCGCUUGGUUGGCUCCUGGCGGACACCAUGGCGGCGCGGAUGGCCUUACCUCUUGGUCGUGUGGAUGGCGAGAGGUGGUGUAGUGGGUGGCUCGGGCGCGCUUUCUGUCUUCAUGGUGGCGGUGCCCUGAUCCGGAUCUGGAGUUCUGUGCUCGGCGCGCUUGCCCUGAAGACCUCGUGUCGUCGUGGUGCUCCUCUCCAUGUCCGGGUCCCGGGUGAAAACCUAUGUCUGUUGUGGACUCGGCAACGGCGACGCAUAGCGCCGUUCUCCCUUCUGGGGGCGUUGUCGUGGAGCUUAGGUGCUAUAGGGUUUAGCAUGGUGUUGUACUCAGUUCCUCCUGUACUCUAUUUCGGCAGCGUAGUCGCAUGCGUGCUGUGUGUUCCGCCCGACGCCACCGGCACUUUGCUCUCCGCUGUGCUCUCCUGGUUCAACAGCCAGGAUGGAGCCGCUAAAAUGUCGAAGAAAGCUGAUAUGCAUGGAAUGGAUCUCGUCGCUUAUAAGAGAAUAUGGAAGAAGUGCGUGCUGAACCCCGAGUUGAUUGCAAUCAUGGACAGCGUGGUGCACGAGAAUGAAGCUUCUGAAUACGUGCGGCUCCACGAGCAGCUGAUGGGCCAAGAAAUCCUGGAUUAUAUGGCCGGACACGACAUCGACGAGCCAUCCUCCCCGCCUGGAUAUGUUGGUAGUAGCCCUGAGCCACUGCCACCUAAGGUCGACGCUGACAACAUGCACUCCUGGCUCGUCGGCAUGUAUGGAGCCGCUCAUGUGUCGGCUCUUAUGUCGAAGGGAGCUGCUAAGUUUGGAAUUGAUCCCACUGCUUUCGAGACAAUGUGGAUGAAGUACGUGCUGAACCCCGAGCAGGUUGCAGACAUGGACAGCGCGGUGCAGAACCAUGACGGUUCUGAAUUCAAGCGGCUCAUAGCGCAGGUGAUGGAGGCAGAAAACUCCAGGCCACCACCUAAGCUCGACAUCUACGACACUUUUAUCCUCUGGCGUAACACCACGGAUGGAGCCGCUGCUAUGUCGGAGGGAGCUGCUGAGUUUGGAAUGGAUCCCGCUGCUUUUGAGAGAAUAUUGAAGAAGUGCAUGCUGAACCCCGAGUUGAUUCCAGCCAUGGACAGCGCGUUGCAGGACGAUGACGGCUCUUGGAUGGAGCUGAUGAAGCAGCUGGUGGAGCCAGAAACCAUGCAUUAUUUCACCGAGCAAUACAUGGACGGGCCAUCCUCCACGCCUGGAUAUGCUGAUGAUGGACAGGCCGAUGGUAGCAGUAGUGGCCAAGAUGGUGAGAAGGUCUCCAGGAUGCUGAGGCAAGUGUUGCCGACCGUGGAACAGGUCCUUAAAGCUGGUGCGAGCAGUAGACAGCCUAGCGCAGCUCAGGCUUUGUCGGGGUUGUAUGGGCCGCUUCCCGGUCAAUCUAUGGCAAGGCGCCGGCAGCAGAAGAUCCCCUCGAUUUUUGGCCGGCGGUGGGACGAGGAGGUGGUGGAAGACAGCGGCGGAGGCCUACAACCGCGCAUUGUUACUUUACACUGCAUCUCACUUGUUGUCCAUGCAUGUAUGCACGCUCAGGUCAUUGCCGACAACGAGCUCAACUAUGGAGGACCGGCUGAUGCCAGCGGCAUGCUCUCCGGUUUAUCCAGUAGCCCGGCCCACGCAGCUCAAUCUGAUAUGAUAGACGUCGUAGCAAGAAGCACUGCUACUGUGGCGCAGAUUAUACAAAAUGGUGAGAACUCCUUGACGAUGUUCAACUGGAAUGAACGACUCGCGGCCUUGGAGAAGGCAUCUGCUGCUGGUGAGAACUCCUCGACGGUAUUCAACUUGAAUGAACUAAAGGAACUGAACGAACUGAUCGCAGCCUUGGAGAAUGGCCCAUCUCAGCACAACUCCAACUUCCUGUAG
rnacentral:rRNA from 1 species